rnacentral:rRNA from 1 species
GACGAACGCUGGCGGCGUGCUUAACACAUGCAAGUCGAACGGAAAGGCCCUGCUUUUGUGGGGUGCUCGAGUGGCGAACGGGUGAGUAACACGUGAGUAACCUGCCCUUGACUUUGGGAUAACUUCAGGAAGCUGGGGCUAAUACCGGAUAGGAGCUCCUGCUGCAUGGUGGGGGUUGGAAAGUUUCGGCGGUUGGGGAUGGACUCGCGGCUUAUCAGCUUGUUGGUGGGGUAGUGGCUUACCAAGGCUUUGACGGGUAGCCGGCCUGAGAGGGUGACCGGCCACAUGGGGACUGAGAGACGGCCCAGACUCCUACGGGAGGCAGCAGUGGGGAAUAUUGCACAAUGGGCGGAAGCCUGAUGCAGCAACGCCGCGUGCGGGAUGACGGCCUUCGGGUUGUAAACCGCUUUCGCCUGUGACGAAGCGUGAGUGACGGUAAUGGGUAAAGAAGCACCGGCUAACUACGUG